rnacentral:rRNA from 1 species
CAGCCGCCGCGGUAAUACGUAGGUCCCGAGCGUUGUCCGGAUUUAUUGGGCGUAAAGCGAGCGCAGGCGGUUAGAUAAGUCUGAAGUUAAAGGCUGUGGCUUAACCAUAGUACGCUUUGGAAACUGUUUAACUUGAGUGCAAGAGGGGAGAGUGGAAUUCCAUGUGUAGCGGUGAAAUGCGUAGAUAUAUGGAGGAACACCGGUGGCGAAAGCGGCUCUCUGGCUUGUAACUGACGCUGAGGCUCGAAAGCGUGGGGCGCAAACAGGAUUAGAUACCCGAGUAGUCCCUGUCUCUUAUACC